UGGGUAUCUGCCCUUUGGCCUGGAAUAACACGAGGAAACUUGUGCUAAUACCAGAUAAGUCUUUACGGAGAAAGCUUUAUGCACCAUUGGAUGAGCCCGCACUUGAUUAGUUUGUUGGUGGGGUAAUGGCCUACCAAGACUUUGAUCAAUAGCCGAUUUGAGAGGAUGAUCAGCCACAUUGGGACUGAGACACGGCCCAAACUCCUACGGGAGGCAGCAGUGGGGAAUCUUGCACAAUGGAGGAAACUCUGAUGCAGCGAUGCCGCGUGUGUGAAGAAGGCCCUUGGGUUGUAAAGCUCUUUCGUCGGGGAAGAAAAUGACUGUACCCGAAUAAGAAGGUCCGGCUAACUUCGUGCCAGCAGCCGCGGUAAUACGAAGGGACCUAGCGUAGUUCGGAAUUACUGGGCUUAAAGAGUUCGUAGGUGGUUGAAAAAGUUGGUGGUGAAAUCCCAGAGCUUAACUCUGGAACUGCCAUCAAAACUUUUCAGCUAGAGUAUGAUAGAGGAAAGCAGAAUUUCUAGUGUAGAGGUGAAAUUCGUAGAUAUUAGAAAGAAUACCAAUUGCGAAGGCAGCUUUCUGGAUCAUUACUGACACUGAGGAACGAAAGCAUGGGUAGCGAAGAGGAUUAGAUACCCUCGUAGUCCAUGCCGUAAACGAUGUGUGUUAGACGUUGGA
rnacentral:rRNA from 1 species